AGCUCCUGGUUAUUUAAAAUGUGCUUCCUGGACCAGCAACAAUAGCAUCACCAGUUUUAGAGUUGCAGCAUCUCAGACCCCCUGGCCCUGCUGAAUCGGAAUCUGCAGUUUAACAAGAUCUGCAGUAUAUACUGUAAUGUUGAAAAUGAAUAGUCCAAAUUUAACUCUCAGCUUACAGAUAUGGAACCUGGGAUGAGGCAGAUGAAGAUCCUUGCCCAAAGUCAUACAUCCAGUAUCAGCAAUACAAACAUGGAUAAAAAUGAGUGCCUGCCAUCAAGAAGACUACAUUCAAUCAGAGGAGUAUUUUUCAGAAUUUCAUCUUGAAAUCCUCCUCAGGAUGCACCCUCUCUCAUGACUAGUGAAACCACCAUACGUCACCGGGUCAUCGUGCAUGUCAGUGUUACAAAAACAGCUAUGAAUCGCUUUAAACAAAGCAAAUCCAUCUGUCCGUCUUUCCAUGCUACUUCAAAGCCGCCCGACCAUCUAGAGUCAAACUUCUCUGGAUUAAAUAGGCUACAAGGCUAAAGCCCAGCAAGUGUCUCUUUUAACCUCUAGCAGAUUUUCACAGCCCAGUGGCAAACUCCUCCCAAACAACAUUUCUAAUGGGAGGCUGACAGACUUCUAACUAAAGCAGUUCCAAUGUGCCACUAUAAUAACCUACUUCUUUUGAUUGCAUUUAUUUUUAAUGAUUAUUUUCCCUGCGUGCCAAUCCAACCUGUGCUUCCAGCCCAGAAAGAGGGGGGAGGGGAGGAAGCCAGGACCGAGAACGUUAUCUUGGGCUGCACUGUCACCUAGAGGUACUGCGGAAGAACUGCCGCAUUGCUCUUCUAAGAGCAGUGGCCGCUGUUGAAACAAAGCGGGACCUUCCU
ensembl:lncRNA